GGCCACCUUCGGGGGGCUUUAACAUAGCGGACCCGCAGGCAAGCGCCGAGGGGUCCGUGUGCUAGACGGAAGACAGAAA
rnacentral:ncRNA from 1 species